rnacentral:sRNA from 1 species
GUGGCUUCGUGGUUGCUCGUUUCGAGCGUG